rnacentral:rRNA from 1 species
GACUCAACACGGGAAAACUCACCAGGCCCGGACACCGAAGGAUUGACAGAUUGAUAGCUCUUUCAUGAUUCGGUGGGUGGUGGUGCAUGGCCGUUCUUAGUUGGUGGAGUGAUUUGUCAGGUUAAUUCCGGUAACGAACGAGAUUCUAGCCUGCUAAAUAGGCGUCGCCAUUUUGGAAGUCGGGAAUUUUCCCGUACACUCACUGGCGGCGUAUUUAAAUUCUUCUUAGAGGGACCCGGCUUCGAGCCGNCGAGAUUGAGCAAUAACAGGUCUGUGAUGCCCUUAGAUGUCCUGGGCCGCACGCGCGCUACACUGAAGGAAUCAACGUGUCCUCCCUGGCCUAGAGGCCGGGCAACCCGUUGAAUCUCCUUCGUGCUGGGGAUUGGGGUUUGCAAUUGUCCCCCAUGAACGAGGAAUUCCUAGUAAGCGCGAGUCAUAAGCUCGCGUUGAUUACGUCCCUGCCCUUUGUACACACCGCCCGUCGCUAUUACCGAUUGAAUGAUUUAGUGAGGUCUUCGGACCG